rnacentral:rRNA from 1 species
UACGUAGGGUGCGAGCGUUAAUCGGAAUUACUGGGCGUAAAGCGUGCGCAGGCGGUCUGUUAAGACAGAUGUGAAAUCCCCGGGCUUAACCUGGGAACUGCAUUUGUGACUGGCAGGCUAGAGUAUGGCAGAGGGGGGGUAGAAUUCCACGUGUAGCAGUGAAAUGCGUAGAGAUGUGGAGGAAUACCGAUGGCGAAGGCAGCCCCCCUGGGCCAAUACUGACGCUCAUGCACGAAAGCGUGGGGGAGCAAACAGG